rnacentral:rRNA from 1 species
CUGGCGGCGUGCCUAACACAUGCAAGUCGAACGGGAAAGCGGGGGCAACCCUGUGAGUACAGUGGCGUACGGGUGAGUAACACGUGACUACCUACCCUCGAGUGGGGGAUAACCCCGGGAAACCGGGGCUAAUACCGCAUAACAUCGCAAGAUCAAAGGAGCAAUUCGCUUGAGGAGGGGGUCGCGGCUGAUUAGCUAGCUGGUGAGGUAACGGCCCACCAAGGCGAUGAUCGGUAGCCGGCCUGAGAGGGCGCACGGCCACACUGGAACUGAAACACGGUCCAGACUCCUACGGGAGGCAGCAGUGGGGAAUUUUGCGCAAUGGGGGAAACCCUGACGCAGCAACGCCGCGUGGAGGAUGAAGUCCCUUGGGACGUAAACUCCUUUCGACCCGGACGAUAAUGACGGUACGGGUGGAAGAAGCACCGGCUAACUUCGUGC